rnacentral:rRNA from 1 species
GACGAACGCUGGCGGCGUGCCUAAUACAUGCAAGUCGAACGAGAGCGACCGGUGCUUGCACUGGUCAAUCUAGUGGCGCACGGGUGAGUAACACGUGGGUAACCUGCCCAUCAGAGGGGGAUAACAUCCGGAAACGGAUGCUAAAACCGCAUAGGUCUUCGAACCGCAUGGUUUGAAGAGGAAAAGCGGCGCAAGCUUCUGCUGAUGGAUGGACCCGCGGUGCAUUAGCUAGUUGGUGAGGUAACGGCUCACCAAGGCCGUGAUGCAUAGCCGAACUGAGAGGGUGAUCGGCCACAUUGGGACUGAGACACGGCCAAAACUCCUACGGGAGGCAGCAGUAGGGAAUCUGCCGCAAUGGACGCAAGUCUGACGGAGCAACGCCGCGUGAGUGAAGAAGGUGUUCGGAUCGUAAAACUCUGUUGUUAGAGAAGAACAAGUGCUAGAGUAACUGUUAGCGCCUUGACGGUAUCUAACCAGAAAGCCACGGCUAACUACGUG